GCAGUAGCCACGGGAAUACGAAGGGGGCUAGCGUUGUUCGGAUUUACUGGGCGUAAAGCGCACGUAGGCGGACUUUUAAGUCAGGGGUGAAAUCCCGGGGCUCAACCCCGGAACUGCCUUUGAUACUGGGAGUCUUGAAUUCGAGAGAGGUGAGUGGAAUUGCGAGUGUAGAGGUGAAAUUCGUAGAUAUUCGCAGGAACACCAGUGGCGAAGGCGGCCCACUGGCUCGAUACUGACGCUGAGGUGCGAAAGCGUGGGGAGCAAACAGGAUUAGAUACCCCCGUAGUCCCUGUCUCUUAUAC
rnacentral:rRNA from 1 species